AGUCAGCCUGUCCUUUGAACCUUUGAAGCCAGGCAUUGACUUCUCUCUAGCCGUGAAAGUCCUAGAUGGCAU
rnacentral:miRNA from 14 species